CAAUCCGAUGUAGUGUAGGGGUUAUCACUGUGCUCUUUCACAGCACUAACGGGGGUUCGAAUCCCCCCAUCGGAGG
rnacentral:tRNA from 1 species